CGCCUCUCGACCUCUUCUUUGAAGUUCGUUUCGAUUCAAAUCUUCAAACCCAGAAAUCUCGUAUCAAUUCAUUCGAUUCAUGGCCUACGGCCGUUAAUCACUUAAUCUCAAGUGGAAUCAGUCUCUUUGAAGUGGAAUCUUGAUUUUUUACUUGUAUAUGAACAGGAGGACGAGGACUAAGAAGCAAAGUGACUGCACAACUGAAGG